UGCACUCCGCCUGGUAUGACCUGGCGAAGUAAACUCUGGCAAAAAAGGUAACGUUUAGAAAAAAAACGUAGUAAAUUUGCGUAGUUUAGCCCCUUCACCUGGCAUCAGGCUGUGAAGUUGCGCUAGUCUAUCUACUUCACUAGAGAAUUUUCGCCAGGGACACUUUUGUAAAUUGGCGAAGUGGCAAAAUGACUAACGCUGGCAAAUAUUUGCUAGCGUUAGCCACUUCGCCGGUUAGUGAAUUUGCCUCUGUAGCUUUAGGCCAGUCACCUUUUUACACAUUUCCUUGGGCAUUCUACCUCAAUAUGUAUAUUAUGGUAGGAAUAAAUGAUUUUUCGCAGCAAUAUUAACAGUUACUCUUUGGGAUAAUCAUUGAGGUCCUAAAAUACCAAAAACAAUCAGCCAUGUAAUUAUAUUCAUAAAGCUGACUAAUAAAUGCUACCUGCCGGUUGGUUGCUAUGGGUUGCUGGGUAAGUAGCACUGUUUAUUACAUUAGCCCCAAAGGAAAUAACCUAGACCCUUGUUUUUAAAAAAAAGUGUGCAAUUUAUUAGCCUUUGACAUUUUUUUUAUAGUUUAGAUUAGAUGCCUGUGACAUUGUAUUCAUAACUGAGUUUGCACUAAUAACUUUUUAACAGGCCUGAUGCUGUUUUGAGAAGAUUUACAGCUUUGUGCAAUUAGAAAGCAAUUUGGGGAUACUUUCCCAGAACACAUGUCUCAUUAUUAAGAACAUUAGACGGCAAUUCCAUACAAUAAAGUAACUCUUUGUAAGCACGUGUCAUUUACAUUGUGGGAAAACCUUUGAGCCAAGCACUUGAGCCAAAGUUUACUUUAAUUUUGUUAAGCAUUUAUACACCAUGAUAUGCCUUUUACAGCAAGGAAUCUAAUCAUCCUGUGUACGUUCCAACGGUGAUGGGUUUCAGGAUACAAAUGGGGAACUCUGACAUUUCUUUAUUCUGUGAGAAAACACCCGAGGUACAUCCUGCCUGCAGGACAAUACAGUUAUUAAGUAUCAGUUUGAUGGCAUUGUCUCCUUUCAAAGAGCUUCUAAAUGAACCUACUACACCCAAACAAGACUUCAGCACCACGGACAGGGGACCACACAAUCUCUAAUGUAUCACUGGAUUUAAAUUCAGCACUGAAAUCGCUUGGGCAACAUGGAGCUGUGAAAAGAAAAGACAAAUUGUCCCAUUCAACUGUCAGAAUGUUUUGAAAAACAUCACAAUGUGUACUACAACAACAAACAAUAUAUCAGGAGUUUUAAAAUGCAUGAAACCAUCUCAACAACUUGUAAUCUUUGUUCACUUAUAUUCAUUUAUCUGCAUUUCUUGUUGUACAUAUGAGCUGCGUUUCUGAAAUGACAUGGAAAUAUCUGUUUUGUGUUAAAAAAUAUAAGCAACAUUUAAACAUGAAUCUGAAUCAGAGUUAACCAGAGGAGCAAAUAUAAAAUGCUAUGCACAAUUAUUUAGCACCUUGAAUUUUCCACAAGGUUUCAUCUACAUACUCUUCCAGAGAUGCAUGGAAUAAAAGACACUGGGGUCAUUUACUAAGUACUAAAAGUCAAACUAUCUUCAAUAUUUUUUGCAAUUUGCACCAUGAUCUGUUAAUUUAUGCAGGGUUCUGCACUCCAAAAUGGAACACAGACACCUGCACUCCACCGCCCAUGAGUAUAGUGCAGCUUGUGUUCAGCAGCACUGUAUUCACGAGUGGUGGCUGGGAAUAUAGGCAUGCCCCUUUACUUAUGCAUCAUUCAUAUGUGCAAGUUAGGGAACGUAGAGCUGUCAUGCACACUCCAAUGUUGCUCUCUGCACCUAGUGUUGGAUUUCCAAUUCAGCAUUAGGUGCAGAACCGAGCGAGACCCAGUACACAACUGCUUUUUGUUUGUGGUGUGAGUAAAUAAUGUGCAUCUGUUUAUAGAAAUAUGUAGCUAUGUGAUUCAUUUUAUUUUUUGUCUUAAAUUACACGAAGGUCAGAAAUUAAUAUUUAGUGAAUAGUUAGCAAAAGAGAAAGCUUUUAAUGCUAGAAAACUGUGCCAUAAAGAGUGAACUAUGUUACUAUGUUCUUUGUAAAUAAAUCUACGCAAUAAGAUACUUGGGCUGCUUGUUUUUGUAUUCAGAAAAUUUUCUGGAAACAUUCUUGUAGAUGUGAAAUAGAUAUCAUCAUAAAAAGACUGAUCUUUA